GGGGAUUUAGCUCAGUGGCAUAAGUGCCUGCCUUGCAAGCAGGCAGCCGUGAGUUUAAUCCCUG
rnacentral:tRNA from 1 species